AUACCUGGAUGAAAUCAGAGAGUAGAUGAAGAGUCCUAUUUAACCAGGAAUAUAAAUUUGGGAAGAUUUGUAUUGGUGGCCCUGAAGCAGAGAGCUCUGUAUCCCAUUAACAGCAAUGAGUCAUUCAGUCUCCCACAGAUCCAAAUAAAGUUUUACAGAAUACCCUAUGGCAUGCCUUUCAAAAUAUAUGAACACCAUAAAAUAUAUCAUUCAUUUUACCAUAUGAACUGACUCUGUCCCCUUUUCACCAUUUGGGAUAGCAAUCUCACCAUGUGUUUUUGGCUCUUAGGUUAUCAUCAGAUAUAUUGAAGUUCUCUGAGCUUUUCCAUUCUAAGUCCCUAUGGUAUUUUCAGGAGUUUUAUAACUUGGUUGUAAAAAUUCACUCUAAACUGAAACUUGGCAAAUAAUGUAUUAAUCUGGGAAGUUAAUUUCUUUUAUAAAGUCCAGAAUCUGUUUAGGCUCUCUUUUGAGUUCUCAGAGACCUUGGAAAAAUAAAGUGAGCAAUUAAAGGUUUUUUGUGUCUUAAAAAAUGCAAUUACAUUUCUCUAAAAUCCUUUCAACCCUAUUUUUACAGGUGAAUAGCUUAUACUUUGGAUUGAGUUCUGAUAUAUUUUGAAACAGAUUUUUUUUUUCUUUUGGCACAGUGAAAUAGAGUAAUUAAGAAAGGAACUAGGCUGAGCUUACCCUGUUACAUCACUGGAAUAACAACAUAUCUUUAGGGAGUGGAGCCUGUCUAAAUUUACAAAAAGGACUAAGAUGUUAAUAUCAUUAGACAUUCACUAAUCUACAAAUAUAUCAGUGAGAAGUAUUUAAAACACAUGAUGUGCCCUCAAUCUUAGAAGAAUUACUAAGAUGCUAAAACUUCUGUUUGCAGUUGAUUCAUUGAACUUUGGAAAUGACUUUGCUGUCAUAUAGUGCCAGCAAAUGUAACUAGACUUACAUAGUCUCUUUUCAGGUCCUGGAGAAUUCUGUCUCCACCUCCUCUCGCUUUACCCGAAAAUAGCUCCAGGGAUGAGUUAAACAAAUAGUUUGAUUGACCAGAUACAAUCUGCACUAACAACCUUCUCAAUUCAGAGAUGGGCCCAGUGAUAAAAGUUCAACAACAACAAAUGACAAACUGAAGUAACAUUUAAAAUGGAGUGUCACGGCUUUAAAACACUUUCAGGUGUAUUUUACAAAAGGAAUGCAGAAGAGAAUUAGAUUACGAUCUUUGGAGUUUCACAGAAGUGAUGAUUACUAGCUCUGUGGCGUUGGGGAAGCUACUUAAUCUUUG
rnacentral:lncRNA from 1 species